AUAAAAAAUAAUCAUUACUCAAUAACUAUCUAAAAGGAUUAGGCCGUGCCGGUCUAUACAGCCGUCCUUGUGUAAAAUGUGGAAAAGCAAUUAUAAUCCUUCAAUCGAUGAUUUCCGUUUAUGUGUUUUCAACACAUUAUAAGUUUGGCAAAAUAAAAGAAAGUAAUUUAUAUUAAAAUGACGUCCCUCGUCGUUAUCAAAUGUCCUUAUUCUUUAAACAUUUUUAACGCUUGGUUAGCACGUCCUUGACAUUACCUGUAUAACAGUAAAAGUAUUGUAGCUAAUGGCGCGUUUAUAAGAAGGUACGGGAUAUAAAUCUUUCCCAUUAAAAACUUAUUAUGGUAGCUAGAAGUGUACGCAAACUAAAAAUCAUAUUAAAUCGUUUUUUAAUUUUAAGUUAUAGGCUAAAAGGAUGCGCAACAUAGAAGAAUUCUUAUCAGUGCUAUAUGGUAAAAAUAGAACGUCGUUAAACGCACAACACCAAUCCUCACCUUUUCUUAAUUUUUAAAUAUUAAUAUCUCAAAAAUGUUACAAGACAGGUUAUGGACCAAUCGAAGUUUUAUUUAACCCAUUUAAUAAUAAAAAAAACGGUAGCACAGUGGGGUCGAGGCACAGUGUAGACAAGGCAUAGAUGGGACAAGUAUAGAUGAUAUUUGACAGUGAUUAAAAUCACUAUCAUAAGAAACGCUUCGAUGCAAAUCUGUAGAUAGCCUUUCAU